UGGGGAAUAUUGGGCAAUGGGCGAAAGCCUGACCCAGCGACGCCGCGUGGGUGAUGAAGGCCUUCGGGUUGUAAAACCCUUUCGUGCGGAAAGAAUAGUCUCGUAGCGAAUAACUAUGGGAUUUGACGGUACCGCAGGAAGAAGCACCGGCUAACUCCGUGCCAGCAGCCGCGGUAAUACGGAGGGUGCAAGCGUUGUUCGGAAUUAUUGGGCGUAAAGGGCGCGUAGGUGGUUGUGAUAGUCAGAUGUGAAAUCCUUCGGCUCAACCGAAGAACUGCAUCUGAAACUUCAUAGCUCGAGUACAGGAGAGGGAAACGGAAUUCCCGGUGUAGAGGUGAAAUUCGUAGAUAUCGGGAGGAACACCAGUGGCGAAGGCGGUUUCCUGGCCUGAUACUGACGCUGAGGCGCGAAAGCGUGGGGAGCAAACAG
rnacentral:rRNA from 1 species